rnacentral:rRNA from 1 species
UACGGGGGGGGCAAGCGUUGUUCGGAAUUACUGGGCGUAAAGGGUCUGUAGGUGGCUUGCUAAGUCAGACGUGAAAUCCCUCAGCUUAACUGGGGAACUGCGUCUGAGACUGGCGAGCUUGAGUGCAGGAGAGGAACGCGGAAUUCCAGGUGUAGCGGUGAAAUGCGUAGAUAUCUGGAGGAACACCGGUGGCGAAGGCGGCAUCCUGGACCGGCAUUGACGCUGAGGCGCGAAAGCCAGGGGAGCAAACGGG